AUUGAACGCUGGCGGCAUGCCUUACACAUGCAAGUCGAACGGCAGCAUGGAGGAGCUUGCUCCUCUGAUGGCGAGUGGCGAACGGGUGAGUAAAGCAUCGGAACGUACCGUGUAGUGGGGAUAACGUAGCGGAAGUUACGCUAAUACCGCAUACGCACUGAGGUGGAAAAGCAGGGGAUCGCAAGACCUUGCGCUAUACGAGCGGCCGAUGUCAGAUUAGCUAGUUGGUAGGGUAAAGGCCUACCAAGGCGACGAUCUGUAGCGGGUCUGAGAGGAUGAUCCGCCACACUGGGACUGAGACACGGCCCAGACUCCUACGGGAGGCAGCAGUGGGGAAUUUUGGACAAUGGGGGAAACCCUGAUCCAGCCAUGCCGCGUGAGUGAAGAAGGCCUU
rnacentral:rRNA from 1 species